AUUGAACGCUGGCGGCAUGCCUUACACAUGCAAGUCGAACGGUAACAGGUCUUCGGAUGCUGACGAGUGGCGAACGGGUGAGUAAUACAUCGGAACGUGCCCGAUCGUGGGGGAUAACGAAGCGAAAGCUUUGCUAAUACCGCAUACGAUCUACGGAUGACAGCAGGGGAACGCAAGGCCUUGCGCGAACGGAGCGGCCGAUGGCAGAUUAGGUAGUUGGAGGGAUAAAAGCUUACCAAGCCGACGAUCUGUAGCUGGUCUGAGAGGACGACCAGCCACACUGGGACUGAGACACGGCCCAGACUCCUACGGGAGGCAGCAGUGGGGAAUUUUGGACAAUGGGCGAAAGCCUGAUCCAGCCAUGCCGCGUGCAGGAUGAAGGCCUUCGGGUUGUAAACUGCUUUUGUACGGAACGAAAAGACUCUGGUUAAUACCUGGGGUCCAUGACGGUACCGUAAGAAUAAGCACCGGCUAACUACGUG
rnacentral:rRNA from 1 species